UACAGAGGUCUCAAGCGUUAUCCGGAAUUACUGGGCGUAAAGCGCACGUAGGCGGCUUUGCAAGUUAGAGGUGAAAGCCCGGGGCUCAACUCCGGAAUUGCCUUUAAAACUGCAUCGCUAGAGUUGUGGAGAGGUAAGUGGAAUUCCGAGUGUAGAGGUGAAAUUCGUAGAUAUUCGGAAGGACACCAGUGGCGAAGGCGACUUACUGGACACAUACUGACGCUGAGGUGCGAAAGCGUGGGGAGCAAACAGG
rnacentral:rRNA from 1 species